CGUCCGGCGACCGGCGCACGGGUGAGUAACACGUAUGCAACCUGCCCGUGGCAGGGGGAUAAGCGGGGGAAACCCCGUCUAAUACCGCGUAACGCGGCCUUGGGGCAUCCCAAGGCCGCCAAAGGGAGCAAUCCCGGCCACGGAUGGGCAUGCGGCGCAUUAGCUAGUCGGCGGGGUAACGGCCCACCGAGGCGACGAUGCGUAGGGGUUCUGAGAGGAAGGCCCCCCACACUGGUACUGAGACACGGACCAGACUCCUACGGGAGGCAGCAG
rnacentral:rRNA from 1 species